rnacentral:rRNA from 1 species
GGUUAAGCGACUAAGCGUACACGGUGGAUGCCCUGGCAGUCAGAGGCGAUGAAGGACGUGCUAAUCUGCGAUAAGCGUCGGUAAGGUGAUAUGAACCGUUAUAACCGGCGAUUUCCGAAUGGGGAAACCCAGUGUGAUUCGUCACACUAUCAUUAACUGAAUCCAUAGGUUAAUGAGGCGAACCGGGGGAACUGAAACAUCUAAGUACCCCGAGGAAAAGAAAUCAACCGAGAUUCCCCCAGUAGCGGCGAGCGAACGGGGAGGAGCCCAGAGCCUGAAUCAGUGUGUGUGUUAGUGGAAGCGUCUGGAAAGGCGCGCGAUACAGGGUGACAGCCCCGUACACAAAAAUGCACAUGCUGUGAGCUCGAUGAGUAGGGCGGGACACGUGGUAUCCUGUCUGAAUAUGGGGGGACCAUCCUCCAAGGCUAAAUACUCCUGACUGACCGAUAGUGAACCAGUACCGUGAGGGAAAGGCGAAAAGAACCCCGGCGAGGGGAGUGAAAAAGAACCUGAAACCGUGUACGUACAAGCAGUGGGAGCACGCUUAGGCGUGUGACUGCGUACCUUUUGUAUAAUGGGUCAGCGACUUAUAUUCUGUAGCAAGGUUAACCGAAUAGGGGAGCCGAAGGGAAACCGAGUCUUAACUGGGCGUUAAGUUGCAGGGUAUAGACCCGAAACCCGGUGAUCUAGCCAUGGGCAGGUUGAAGGUUGGGUAACACUAACUGGAGGACCGAACCGACUAAUGUUGAAAAAUUAGCGGAUGACUUGUGGCUGGGGGUGAAAGGCCAAUCAAACCGGGAGAUAGCUGGUUCUCCCCGAAAGCUAUUUAGGUAGCGCCUCGUGAAUUCAUCUCCGGGGGUAGAGCACUGUUUCGGCAAGGGGGUCAUCCCGACUUACCAACCCGAUGCAAACUGCGAAUACCGGAGAAUGUUAUCACGGGAGACACACGGCGGGUGCUAACGUCCGUCGUGAAGAGGGAAACAACCCAGACCGCCAGCUAAGGUCCCAAAGUCAUGGUUAAGUGGGAAACGAUGUGGGAAGGCCCAGACAGCCAGGAUGUUGGCUUAGAAGCAGCCAUCAUUUAAAGAAAGCGUAAUAGCUCACUGGUCGAGUCGGCCUGCGCGGAAGAUGUAACGGGGCUAAACCAUGCACCGAAGCUGCGGCAGCGACGCUUAUGCGUUGUUGGGUAGGGGAGCGUUCUGUAAGCCUGUGAAGGUGUGCUGUGAGGCAUGCUGGAGGUAUCAGAAGUGCGAAUGCUGACAUAAGUAACGAUAAAGCGGGUGAAAAGCCCGCUCGCCGGAAGACCAAGGGUUCCUGUCCAACGUUAAUCGGGGCAGGGUGAGUCGACCCCUAAGGCGAGGCCGAAAGGCGUAGUCGAUGGGAAACAGGUUAAUAUUCCUGUACUUGGUGUUACUGCGAAGGGGGGACGGAGAAGGCUAUGUUGGCCGGGCGACGGUUGUCCCGGUUUAAGCGUGUAGGCUGGUUUUCCAGGUAAAUCCGGAAAAUCAAGGCUGAGGCGUGAUGACGAGGCACUACGGUGCUGAAGCAACAAAUGCCCUGCUUCCAGGAAAAGCCUCUAAGCAUCAGGUAACAUCAAAUCGUACCCCAAACCGACACAGGUGGUCAGGUAGAGAAUACCAAGGCGCUUGAGAGAACUCGGGUGAAGGAACUAGGCAAAAUGGUGCCGUAACUUCGGGAGAAGGCACGCUGAUAUGUAGGUGAAGUCCCUCGCGGAUGGAGCUGAAAUCAGUCGAAGAUACCAGCUGGCUGCAACUGUUUAUUAAAAACACAGCACUGUGCAAACACGAAAGUGGACGUAUACGGUGUGACGCCUGCCCGGUGCCGGAAGGUUAAUUGAUGGGGUCAGCGCAAGCGAAGCUCUUGAUCGAAGCCCCGGUAAACGGCGGCCGUAACUAUAACGGUCCUAAGGUAGCGAAAUUCCUUGUCGGGUAAGUUCCGACCUGCACGAAUGGCGUAAUGAUGGCUAGGCUGUCUCCACCCGAGACUCAGUGAAAUUGAACUCGCUGUGAAGAUGCAGUGUACCCGCGGCAAGACGGAAAGACCCCGUGAACCUUUACUAUAGCUUGACACUGAACAUUGAGCCUUGAUGUGUAGGAUAGGUGGGAGGCUUAGAAGUGUGGACGCCAGUCUGCAUGGAGCCGACCUUGAAAUACCACCCUUUAAUGUUUGAUGUUCUAACGUUGACCCGUAAUCCGGGUUGCGGACAGUGUCUGGUGGGUAGUUUGACUGGGGCGGUCUCCUCCUAAAGAGUAACGGAGGAGCACGAAGGUUGGCUAAUCCUGGUCGGACAUCAGGAGGUUAGUGCAAUGGCAUAAGCCAGCUUGACUGCGAGCGUGACGGCGCGAGCAGGUGCGAAAGCAGGUCAUAGUGAUCCGGUGGUUCUGAAUGGAAGGGCCAUCGCUCAACGGAUAAAAGGUACUCCGGGGAUAACAGGCUGAUACCGCCCAAGAGUUCAUAUCGACGGCGGUGUUUGGCACCUCGAUGUCGGCUCAUCACAUCCUGGGGCUGAAGUAGGUCCCAAGGGUAUGGCUGUUCGCCAUUUAAAGUGGUACGCGAGCUGGGUUUAGAACGUCGUGAGACAGUUCGGUCCCUAUCUGCCGUGGGCGCUGGAGAACUGAGGGGGCUGCUCCUAGUACGAGAGGACCGGAGUGGACGCAUCACUGGUGUUCGGGUUGUCAUGCCAAUGGCACUGCCCGGUAGCUAAAUGCGGAAGAGAUAAGUGCUGAAAGCAUCUAAGCACGAAACUUGCCCCGAGAUGAGUUCUCCCUGACUCCUUGAGAGUCCUGAAGGAACGUUGAAGACGACGACGUUGAUAGGCCGGGUGUGUAAGCGCAGCGAUGCGUUGAGCUAACCGGUACUAAUGAACCGUGAGGCUUAACCUU